GUGUCAGCAGCCGCGGUAACACGUAGGAGACGAGCGUUAUCCGGAUUUACUGGGCGUAAAGCGCGUGCAGGCGGUUUGUUAAGUCGUGCGUGAAAGCUCCCUGGCUUAACCGGGAGAGGCCGUACGAAACUAACGAACUGGAGGGCAGGCGAGGGGUGUGGAAUUCCGGGUGUAGUGGUGAAAUGCGUAGAUAUCCGGAGGAACACCAGUGGCGAAGGCGACACCCUGGACUGUACCUGACGCUCAGACGCGAAAGCAUGGGGAGCGAACGGGAUUAGAUACCCGUGUAGUCC
rnacentral:rRNA from 1 species